UGCUCUUUUUGUCUCAAUCUUUCAAUCCAAGGAAGAGUGUCAGCUUGAAAAUGCCUUUGAAGCUGCAGUGCACGUAUACGAAAUUGAACAUCAUAAAUCAAUUGUCUUGCACCACAGGUAGAGAGAGAGAGAGAGAGAGAGAGAGAACCAUCUUCACAUUGCUUUGAGUCAUUCGCAAUCUCUCGGCAUCAGAGAGUAUAACUUCAUCCUGAAGC